rnacentral:tRNA from 1 species
AUUUAUAUAGUUUAAUAAAACAUUACAUUUUCAUUGUAAAAUUAAAAAUUUUUUAUAAAUU